ACCUGAUGAUGUGGGCAUUUAAGGAGCAAGUCCCUGAAAUGCUCCCAAGUCUCAAAGAAAAGUUCCUCAUCCAUUUGUGUGAAACUCGUGAUUGCCCUUCACAGUU